rnacentral:rRNA from 1 species
GACGGAGGGUGCUAGCGUUGUUCGGAAUCACUGGGCGUAAAGGGCGCGUAGGCGGCGCAGCAUGUCGGCUUUGUGAAAGCCCGGGGCUCAACCCCGGAGGUGCGGCCGAAACUGCUGUGCUGGAGGCCGGAAGAGGAGGGUGGAAUACCCAGUGUAGAGGUGAAAUUCGUAGAUAUUGGGUGGAACACCGGUGGCGAAAGCGGCUCUCUGGUCCGGUCCUGACGCUGAGGCGCGAAAGCGUGGGGAGCAAACAGG